rnacentral:lncRNA from 1 species
AAAGAAAGAAAGAAAAUUGGUGGUUUUUUCUAGAAAAACUGACCAUCGUGAGUCUACCUGAAUGUGUUGCUCCCAAUAAUUGGCCGUAUGCUAAACUGCAGCCAGAUGAUGCAUAUUGCUCAUAUUUCUUGAUGAAAUAUAUUCCAUGGCCAUCAGGCAUUGAUGCUCUAUUAUGUCUAACACAGUACAAAUUCUAAUUAAACAUGUUGUCGCAUUAUUUAGGACUUGCCCUGUUUUUUAUAACACUAAAACCCCACUGCCAUUGAUGCUUUAUGCAAUUAUUAUUUUCACCAUUGUCUCUAUGAAUGCAUGAAUUCAUCGGUGACUUUGUAUCCUUUGUAGGUAAGACAUACAAAAGGACCAUGAAGGAACCAUGAAGAUGGCAGUUCGUGUUUGCUAGACAUCUUGUGUAAUGGAGCAAAAACAGUGUCUUUUAGGAUCAUUUUGUGGACCUAUAUGGCGGCGUCUUGUCAUCUGGGUAUUUUGUGUAAUGGAGCAAACAAUGAAUCGAUGGACAUGCAUCUAUCAUUUUGUAAACCUAUCGAGUGAUUCGGUGACUGGAACAUAUAAAUGUUGGAAGGCUUAUGAGAAUGAAUUACUGUUUUAUCCUUCUUUGGUCAUGAUUUAUUUUUUUGUGAGUACAUGCAAGUUAGUUAACUUGAUUGAUAUUGUGCUGUGAUGAGAUAUGCAACUUGUUUGAUAUUGUAUAAAGCAGAUGAGAAAU